rnacentral:rRNA from 1 species
GACGAACGCUGGCGGCGUGCUUAACACAUGCAAGUCGAACGGAAAGGCCCUGCUUUUGUGGGGUGCUCGAGUGGCGAACGGGUGAGUAACACAUGAGUAACCUGCCCUUGACUUUGGGAUAACUUCAGGAAACUGGGGCUAAUACCGGAUAGGAGCUCCUGCUGCAUGGUGGGGGUUGGAAAGUUUCGGCGGUUGGGGAUGGACUCGCGGCUUAUCAGCUUGUUGGUGGGGUAGUGGCUUACCAAGGCUUUGACGGGUAGCCGGCCUGAGAGGGUGACCGGCCACAUUGGGACUGAGAUACGGCCCAGACUCCUACGGGAGGCAGCAGUGGGGAAUAUUGCACAAUGGGCGGAAGCCUGAUGCAGCAACGCCGCGUGCGGGAUGACGGCCUUCGGGUUGUAAACCGCUUUCGCCUGUGACGAAGCGUGAGUGACGGUAAUGGGUAAAGCAGCACCGGCUAACUACGUG